UCUACGUCACUCUACGUAUCCUCAUAUGUGAGGACGGACAGAGAGGCAGACAAUCUGGCGUCUAGACAUACGAAAAUAAUAAUGCGGCCUCGUCGGAUGAAAUUGUUGUUUGCACUCGUAACAGUCAUAAUAUUUGUUGCACCCGAUGCGUAAGCAGGGAUCGCGGUACGAGGAAUUAGACAGAGCGCAUGUAAAGGGUAUUCGGGAGCGAACUGGCUUCGACUGGCUGUCCAUUAAUUUAUACAAAAACUAAUUGGCAUUGAUUGGGGCUUAGAAAGAAUGAGAAGGAUCACGUGCUAUGUCUACAAUCAACCAUAGCACUGUGUGGGAUAAUUUAUAUGGUGGAAGGAUGCUUUUGGUGUACGAAAGGGUUACUGAUGUGAUUCUUGGUAUUGACGUCAGACAUACUCGUAAGAAAUACAAAAAGUGGCAAUCGCAUAGGGAAACGGCGACCGCACGGGCCAAAACACAUUAUUCAUCGUACGUGCGAGACGCUUUAGGGCUUCGCAUUGGAAUUGUAAAAGAAAACCGCCGACGCGCUCCCAAAAGACGAUUUAAAUAGCGCGGGCGCGAGCCGUGAUUUACAUCGUAUAGUAAAGACGGGGCCCAAGAGAUAAGCGCUACGGGCCCUGAGAGUUUAUUUUAGUCUUGGUUAGAUUUCGUGACUGAUGUGAAUUCAGUGGGAAUGUAUAUGGAGGGCCUUAGCCUCUGUCAGUCCUCGAAUGUACUCGUACUGAUGACAUUGUCAGACCCCAUCGAACUUAGACUAUGCAUCUUUUCUUGGUAGUCAACGACUUCUCUAGCUGGCCCAUUUGAAUUUCGAUGCGAUUGCGAAAUUGCAAAUAAAUAACCGCCUCACCCACGUCAAUGUUCCGCAGCUGCAACCGGUACCCAUUUUAUAUUCUAUUCGAUAGAUAAAAAUCCAAACUCACAUUUCAUUACCUUUUUUGUUUCCUUUUCUUCCUCUCUAUCGUGCCUUAUCACUUUUUUGUCUAUGGUUCAACGAGUCAGCUGAGUCCAGUCAUUGGACAUCGAAUCACAGUUAUUCCUCUAAUUUCCUUCGUUGUUCUUAUUAUAAUCCUAAAAUAUCUUCUUUGCUAACACGUACAUAUCAUGCGUUAUGAUGAACCAAUAAAGUAUAAAGAAUCUGAGUAUCACGGAGAUGAAACUUCGUCCUUCCAUUUUGCACGUGUCAUCCGAUAGGCGGAUGUGAGAUUUUGCAAAUGCAUACAAGAAGUUCUGCCAUCAUUCGGCAGAUGAUGCAUUGCUCACCCGAUGCGCGUCUCCGGCUGGAAUUCGCCUUCUCGUAUUGGCCGGAAAAGGUAUAUGAGAUCGACGAUGGCGCAGGAGGUUAGAAGUAAGGUGUGAAUACAAGGGGCGGCCAUAUCGGUGAUGUGCAUCACGACGGAUGCCCAUCGCGUAUAUACGUACGUAUAAGUGGAGCGAGAGAAGGUCGCGCUCGGUUUACAAUUUCGAGAGGCGGGCAGGAACAUUAAACUUCCGCGAGUCGAAUUCCGCUGUGGGAAACACGAAGACUUCCUCGGAUAUCAUCCACGACGGUGGCGACGCCUUGCGCGAUGAUAGCUACUUAACAUGUAGCCCUCUAUCACCUUUGCCAAUAAGCUGCACUUUGAAUAUAUACAGUAACUCUAAUAAAACGUCAUACACCUAUCACAUAACCCGUGCCUACGUUCACGUCUCUCUUUACGAACUAUACCAAGUUCUUUCACAAUUCUGGCGAACCUCCAGUGAUCGCAAAAGAUCUUAGGGUGGAUUUCGAACUUGCGACACAUCCACGGAUUUAGCCUCUACCUGCAAGAACAUCAGACAUCGUUAUACCGAUACAAUACCGCUCACAAAAUCUCAGCCAGACUAAACAGUCAUUAUGGUCCACGACUGUUGUUCCUUUAUGAUCGCUCACGCGAUACACGUGUGGACGAAGCUUGAUCCUGCUUCCAGAAGCUCGAUAUAUCCCUUAUGCAAACAAUCAUCUAUCAUGAGUACGGUUAAUAACAUCGGAUAAUUUAAUGCAUCGGAUGAUGGGAUGACCUUUGUAUAACCUAACGGAGAACAAAUUUGUCGUGGAUAUAAAUGUUCUGUUUAGCUUUGUAUUUGUUGAGUAUUGUUUAGUACGUUAAAUUGCUGUAAUAUCUACGUUAAA